UAGAUACUUAAGCCUAAGACCUACCUGU
rnacentral:sRNA from 1 species